UACGAAGGGGGCUAGCGUUGCUCGGAAUUACUGGGCGUAAAGGGCGCGUAGGCGGAUAUCUAAGUUGGGGGUGAAAUCCCGGGGCUCAACCUCGGAAUUGCCUUCAAAACUGGGUAUCUUGAGUUCGGGAGAGGUGAGUGGAACUCCGAGUGUAGAGGUGAAAUUCGUAGAUAUUCGGAAAGAACACCAGUGGCGAAGGCGACUCACUGGCCCGAUACUGACGCUGAGGCGCGAAAGCGUGGGGAGCAAACAGGG
rnacentral:rRNA from 1 species